AUCUGUACUUAUUGCGGAAGUUUUGGCUGAUAUGAGGUGGAAGCAAUCGUCACAUGCUAAGGGAUCUCUAGUCAUAUAACAUUGUUCGGAACCAAGCAAACAUAAUUCAUUAUGUUGUCUUCCUUGUCCAAGAUCUACUUCUAAGCAUGUAAUAGUUUAAUGAGUGUUCACAAUCAUAGAUGGUGUCCAAGAUGAUAUAUUUAUA
rnacentral:lncRNA from 1 species